GCAAUACAAGACAUCACAUGGUGGAGAACUUGUCUCUGAAUCGUAAAGACUGAACCUGCUUGCCAACAAAUUUACAAAGUUUCUUGACAAAAAGAAUACACAGAUAGAUCAAGAUGAUAUCAAGAAAAUCAAGAUGGAAGAAGAACUGAUAAUGAUGGCAAAGUCUAAAAUUGUCAAGGCUGAUUUGAAACAUGAGCCAAAAAG
rnacentral:lncRNA from 1 species